CCUACGGGAGGCAGCAGUCGAGAAUCAUUCACAAUGGGGGAAACCCUGAUGGUGCGACGCCGCGUGGGGGAAUGAAGGUCUUCGGAUUGUAAACCCCUGUCAUGUGGGAGCAAAUUAAAAAGAUAGUACCACAAGAGGAAGAGACGGCUAACCAGGUGCCAGCAGCCGCGGUAAUACAGAGGUCCCAAGCGUUGUUCGGAAUCACUGGGCGUAAAGCGUGCGUAGGCUGUUUCGUAAGUCGUGUGUGAAAGGUGCGGGCUCAACCCGCGGACGGCACAUGAUACUGCGAGACUAGAGUAAUGGAGGGGGAACCAGAAUUCUCGGUGUAGCAGUGAAAUGCGUAGAUAUCGAGAGGAACACUCGUGGCGAAGGCGGGUUCCUGGACAUUAACUGACGCUGAGGCACGAAGGCCAGGGGAGCGAAAGGGAUUAGAUACCCGGGUAGUC
rnacentral:rRNA from 1 species